rfam:Echinostoma caproni strain Egypt genome assembly, scaffold: ECPE_scaffold0014493
ACACUGCUGAUGAGACCCAACCAGGUCGAAACAGCUCUGUCCAGUGC